rnacentral:rRNA from 1 species
UACGGAGGAUCCAAGCGUUAUCCGGAUUUAUUGGGUUAAAGGGUGCGUAGGUGGUUCUUUAAGUCAGGGGUGAAAGACGGCAGCUUAACUGUCGCAGUGCCUUUGAUACUGAAGAACUUGAAUACACUAGAGGUAGGCGGAAUGUGACAAGUAGCGGUGAAAUGCAUAGAUAUGUCACAGAACACCAAUUGCGAAGGCAGCUUACUAUGGUGUCAUUGACACUGAGGCACGAAAGCGUGGGGAUCAAACAGG